AGCGAACGCUGGCGGCAGGCCUAACACAUGCAAGUCGAACGAUCCUUCGGGAUAGUGGCGGACGGGUGAGUAACACGUGGGAACGUGCCCUUUGGUUCGGAACAACUCAGGGAAACUUGAGCUAAUACCGAAUGUGCCCUUCGGGGGAAAGAUUUAUCGCCAUUGGAGCGGCACGCGGCUGAUUAGCUAUUUGGUGAGGUAAUGGCUAACCAAGGCGACGAUCAGUAGCUGUGCUCAGAGGAUGAUCAGCCACACUGGGACUGAGACACGGCCCAGAGUCCUACGGGAGGCAGCAGUGGGGAAUCUUGCGCAAUGGGCGAAAGCCUGACGCAGCCAUGCCGCGUGAAUGAUGAAGAUCUUAGGAUUGUAAAAUUCUUUCACCGGGGACGAUAAUGACGGUACCCGGAGAAGAAGCUCCGGCUAACUUCGUGCCAGCAGCCGCGGUAAUAC
rnacentral:rRNA from 1 species